AGAACAGGAAAGUGUGAGUAAUAAACAACACUGGUAGAUAGAUGUAUGAUAACCCACCAGAAAUAAGCUUUGAUUGAUAUGCUAGUGAACCUAAACCAUUAAACCCUCUCACAGUCAAAUUAAAAGGUAAAAUCUGUUGCUGUGUAAUAAAAACUGUCAGUUUUCAGGGCUACGAUAAUCACAUACCACCAAAAUAUUUUUACUUUCAAUAAGCCGACAGUCAAAUUACAGACGUGGGGACUGUUCAAGCCAUUAAUCUAAUAAGUAACGGUGUCAGUUGACUUUUCUCAUUUCUCCAUCUGCCUGAAACAUAUGCACAUGAGGAAUGAUUCAGCAGCCUUCACACAGACCAGUGGGCCACAGUCACAGCUAAUCAUCCCGGUUCCUUCGGCCUGAAACGAGACGCCGGUGACAGAACAACGGGGUUCACUAUCUUGGCCAAGGAGACUUUGGCACACAGACUGGCACAGCAACCACCUCCUAUUUUGGUCUUCUUUCCUUUGUAACUAUAUAAAGUAGGAGCCCUAAUGGCAGUGAGCCAAAACUCCCAAAACUAUCUUCCAGUGUGGAUAAUCUCACUCUUGUUUGGUCUCCGUGGCCACCUAUUCACUCCCUGUCUCGUUCUCUGCAUACCUCUAAUACUUCCUGACACUCAUCCUAUCCCUAAUAGUCAUUAAUCAGAUCAAAUCCAUGUGGACAAAGCAGCCCAGGCUACAUCCCGUCAACAGCAGUUAAAUACGCUAAUCCAAGAGGCACCUACGCAUACCGUUCCACUGAUGCAUAAACAUCUAUUUCCCUUUAAAGGAUCCUUAAUAUACGAUGGAAAACUGGCAAAGAGUGGAUGGCUUAAAGUACACAUGAACACAGGGCCCUUGAUAAAUGGUUGCUCUUUUCCCAGCAUGUCCCUCUGUGAGCCAUGAUGAGUCACCCAUGCACCUGCAUUUCCUCUUGUGAACACAGAAUUACUGUGAUGCAGGGAUGGCAGUAUAUCUGAUUGUCCAGGGUCUUUUGUCAAGGAUUUGGGAGGGCACUGAGGGCAGACCACCGAGGGACACCUAAAAUAAACCUCCCCAGGAGGAUGGGGGCUUCUCCUUCUAACGAGGCUAUUCCUCGGCUUUUGUAAGAAAGGAAAUCUUACCCCUCUGCAUUUCUUUCACUGCCUCUCAAAGCCACUGCAUACCUUCACCCUGACUCUGUCGAGCACCCUUGUUGGCCCGGCUCACGCCUGUCAACAACCCUGAUUCACAAACCGCUUUUGGUUCCCCCUAAAAUCUUUCAAAGACACUGAGGCAGUAAAAUCGCAGCAUGAAGAUUCUGUCUGCACCCUUUCUUUCAUUCACUUUCUGCUUGUUUUACUGUUUUCUUGUUUUCUCUUGGUUCUCACCUGAUGCCGCGGUGCCCAAA